CUGACUAGAACAGUGGAGAUCCUGGGAGAGGACAGUCCCCUGGGAAUUCAUGUGGUUCCUUACAGCUCAUCACUUAGUGGACGGUCUCUUGGUCUGUACAUCCGCGGCGUGGAGGAGGAGAGUCGCUCACGAAAGGAGGGCUUGUUUCAAGAGGACGAGUGCAUCGUCAUGAUCAACAACACCGACCUCAUGGACAAGACGUUCAGCCAAGCGCAGGAAGUGUUCCGGCAGGCGAUGCGCUCCCCAGUUGUCCGCUUGGAAGUAGUUCCCUCCAUCCACAGAGAACGCUACGAGAAGAGUCUGAUUGGUCAGCUCUUUGGCAAUGGCGCCGGUCCCGACAGCAGCCCCCAAAUCGCCAAGACCAAAGAGCCGCCUCCACCUGUCAAAGCCAAACCCGUGUUUAAGGCCCCCGAGCAUCCGACUCUGCGAUUGGCCGAGGAAGCCGCCUCCACCGAAGCUGCUGUUAAUGUAAGUUGCUCUCCUCCACAGCCACCCGUUCUUUAAUGG
rnacentral:lncRNA from 1 species